rnacentral:lncRNA from 1 species
AGAGCCAGGCGCAGGCUGCCCGAGGUGACAGGACUCGAGGGCCCGGCGCGGGGACAGCGGCACGGGUGUGUCAGCCGAAAUCGGACUGCAAGACAUAGAGCGUUGACGCUGAAAUAAGAUUGCUUUUCACUGGCGGGGAAGCGAGCUGGACCGAUCAGCGGUUGCCUAUUCAGGACUGUAGGAAGCGCGGCGCCGGCCCGCGGCGCUGCGCGGUGGGAGAGGCGGGGAAGGAGGUACGCGGCAGCCGCCGGCGCUCUUCUGGAGAGGUGGGGAUCGAAGACCGGCACGGGGCUGCGGAAGAAAGGCGGGCCUGGGGGAGGCUGGAGGGUGGACCCGGGGGGAGCAUAGCAAGAAGAGUCUGAGCACCAGAUCUUAAAAUCUUGUAAUCUGAAAGACACUCUGUGGCCUAUACCCAGUAACGGAUUUUUUAAAAGUUUGUCCUCUUCCACUUUUCCCUAGCGCCGAAUCCCAGAGCUUCCUCCCCCUCCCCAAGGUCACUAGUGCUUUCAUACUUGCCCUAGACCUGAUCUGAUCCACAGCUAAUCUUUUGCAGAAAACCUCAGAAAGGUGACUUCAUGUGUCUGCCCCCCUUAAAUGUAAAAUGCAGAACACUGGCACGGUACUGCUUUAAUCCAAAGGAAUAACUCUCCCAGUGGAAGAAUUUCUAUAACCUGGCAUUUGAAGCAGGAAGGCCCUUUGAGGAUAGAUUCUUACCAAGGACAUUCAAAUCACCUCAGGUCUGCAAUCGCUCGUCCUGAGAACCUAACAGACUGACCAAGUAGAAAAGAAAGUUUCAAGGAGUGGUGUAUCCUGGGGAUGAGACGUUGUUGGCUGACUGACAGUGUUGAGCCCUCCGUGAAAUAAUGCAAAUUGUCCAGUACACUGAGACAAGAAAGCUAAAAAAGCAGAAUCUAAGUUAUCAGGUCAUCUAAGAAAAAAUCCAAACCUUUGAAAUUUGGAUCACACUUGACACGUUUAGAAACACUGGGGAUGGCCAGGCGCGGUGGCCCAUGCCUGUAAUCUCGGCACUUUGGGAGGCCGAAGCCGGUGGAUCACUUGAGGUCAGCAGUUCGAGACCAGCCUGGCCAACAUGGUGAAACCUUGUCUCUACAAAAAAAAAUACCAAAAUUAGCCGAGUAGGGUGGUGUGCGCCUGUAGUCCCAGCUACUCAGGAGGCUGAGGCAGGAGAAUCACUGGAACCUGGAAGGCGGAGGUUGCAGUAAGCUGAAAUCAAGCCACUGUACUUACUCCAGCCUGGGCAACAGAAUGAAACGUUGUCUCAAAAAAAAAAAAAAAAGAAAGAAAAAGGAAAAAAGAAACACUGGGGACAAGAGUAACACAAUUCACUUAUAUUCCAGAUAUGUGGCAGUUUCACAAAAGUUUAGUCUAUUACAAAGAUGCAAUCCCAAUUUAGAGAUGCUGUUGGCAAAAGAACUGGUUAAAUGCCCAAAGAGGAGUCUGGUAGGAAGACGAAGGAGUCCGGUACUUGCAAAGGAGAAAGUGAGAGAUCCUAUUGUUAGGUGUCACAUAUGAGGUUUGUAAUCAAUCAGUGUUUGGGUUGAUAUGUCUGGCCCAUGGCUCAAGUGUUUUUCUUUUUUUGUUGUUGUUUUUUUGUUUUUUGUUUUUGAGACGGAGUCUCGCUCUGUCGCCCAGGCUGGAGUGCAGUGGCGCAAACUCGGCUCCCUGCAAGCUGCGCCUCCCGGAUUCACGCAAGUCUCCUGUCGCAGCCUCCUGAGUAACUGGGACUACAGGCGCCCACCACAACGCCCGGCUAAUUUUUGUAUUUUCAGUAGAGACGGGGUUUCACCAUGUUAGCCAGGAUGGUCUCAAUCUCCUGACCUCGUGAUCCGCCCACCUCGGCCUCCCAAAGUGCUGGGAUUACAGGCGUGAGCCACCGCGCCCGGAGUUUGUUUUUUUGAGAAGGAGUCUCGCUCAGUUGCCUGGGAUGGAGUGCAGUGGCGCGAUCUCUGCUCACUGCAACAUCCACCUCCCCGGCUCAAGCAAUUCUCCUGCCUCAGCCUCCCGAGUAGCUGGGAUUACAGGCGCUCACCACCACACCCGGCUCAUUUUUGUACUUUUAGUAGAGGCGGGAUUUCACCAUGUUGGCCAGGCCGGUUUAGAACUCCUGACCUCAAAUCAUCUGCCCACCUCGGCCUCCCAAAGUGCUGAGAUUACAGGCGUGAGCCUCCGUGCCGGCCGGCUCAAGUGUUUUUCAUAUGAAAUUUCAUCUUGAGGAAAAGGAUGGUUAUCAAAGACUCAAGCCUAGAAAUGGGAUAGGAGCAAUGUAUAAAUAACAAGUUAGGAUACUGUAAGCUUCUUUUACCAAAUAAAUAGCCAAACCCUGAGAACUUACAUAGAACUUACAUAGAACAGUAAAGAUACCACAGUACUUCGAUUUAUUUUUUUUCAUUGGGACAACAUAUAAUGACAAUUUCCUUAGCAAGCAUGUCCUGCUUCAAAAUGGCUUUAAAUGGCUCCAGCAUCAGCAAUAGUCUUAACAGCAGAUACGUAAACUGUUUUGAAGAGGCCAUGGUUUACUUUUUCCUUCCAUUUCUAUAGCCCUGUCUUCCAUCCAUUUCUUUCUGCAUUCUCAUAUAUUCUCUAACAAACGUACUAUAUACUGAGCACCUACAAUAAUGUCAGCCCCUGUGAAUACAUUGGUAAGCAAAACAGUACAGUCUUUGUUGCCAUGAAAGGGGAGACAAACAUUAACCAAAUAAUUGUACCAAGGAAUAUAUACUUGCUAACCUGUAUAAAUUUUAUAAAAGAAAAACAUUCAUGUUAAAAAUAAAAGGCUUAAUAAAUUCUAGGCUCAUGCCCCUGUAAUCCCAGGGCUUUGGGUUACAGGCUGAGGCAAGAGCAUCGCUUGAGGCCAGGAGUUUGAGACCAGCCUGUGCAACAUAGUGAGUCCCUGUCUCUCCAAAAAAUAAAAAUAGGCAUGGUGGGGCACGCCUUUAGUCCUAGCUACUUGGGAGGCUGAGGUGAGAGAAUAGCUUGAGCAUAGGAAUUCGAGGUUGCAUUGAGCUUUGAUGGCACCACUGCACUCCAGCCUGGAUGACAGAGGAGACUCCAAAUACACACACACACACGCACACACGCGUGCACAUACACACACACACACACAUAUAACCAUAACUUUUUUUUUAAGAGACAGGAUCUUGCUAUGUUGCCCAGGCUGGCUUCAAACUCCUAGACUCAAGCAAUCCUGCUGCCUUAGCCUCCCGAGGAGCAAGGAUUAAACUAACCAUAACUUUUGACAGGGGGACAGGACCAUGUGGUUCAGCUCUAUCACUGGUUAGACAAGGUAUGCCCAGUGGCAAGGGGAUGGUGCCCAGGGCUGCUGCACUUCUACCUGAACACAUGCUGAUUUCCUCCAUUAGUUACCAUUCACUUCUUAAAAUACAUCUAUUUUCAAAUGAAACCAUUUUUCAAUAGAAUGGUAAUACUGUUUAAUGAUAAUUGUUUUCCUUUCUUCCCUUUGUUUAAUUUACUUGCCUUGCAGACAAAUAUUUACUUGGUAAACUUUGAAAGAGAUAGAUUUCUGAUAUCUUGGAUGAAAUCUGUGGAAAAAAACAGGCUACCCAGGACAUUCUGUCUCUCAGAUACACCAUUGAAGAAUAAAUAUCUUUAGGAGGGAAAAGCACUGACUGAUUAUUUGACAAGUAAAAAGUAUGUGUACCUUGUAUGGUUAUGUAAUGACAAAGGUGUUUCUUGGUCCCCCACGUCCAAAAGAAGUACUUACUUUCUCAGUCUAGUCAGUACUUAAUGGAAAAAUCAGUCUAUCUAUACCCAGACUAAACUUAUUAAAAACUGUCCUGUAACACACAGCAUUGAUUUAUUAAUAUGAAACAACUUAGAAUAAAAACAUUAUGGUAAAUCAGUAUUACCAUCAAAUAAUCUUUUAAUAUUAUUGAAUAUGUUCCACCUGUAGUACUGCUAGACAAGAAGCAUCAUUCCUGACUACAAAGAGCUUACAGCCCUUAUGAUUAUUUCUCUAUCUUCCUUGAAACUAUUCAUGGUUUGUUUGCAUUUUUUUCUUAUCAAGCCAUUUGGAUGAAGCAUAAGAAUCUUACCUUAAUUAUGAGAAACUCAUUGUUUUCAUAUAAAUUAAAAUGUAUUAAUGAUAACAGGAUUGGAUGGUUGAACAUUUUCUAAGAAAACCUUUAAGUUGAGCAUUAGCUGGUCUCUGAAGAUUUCAUCCAAUAAAGCCUUUAGGAAGUGAAGUAUUUCGUGAAGGUUCCUCCUUUUAAAAAGUCCCUUAAUAUGUGCUCUUAGAAAUGGCAUCCCACAUUUCACUAUGACUGGACUGGCAAAAUAAGUGCUUGGGCAAAAGCAGCAAAGAUCACGUUUGUCAUCAUGUAGCUGCACAGAAUACAUGCAUGUAACUGCCAAAAAUCAGGCAGCUGUCUCACCCUUCUAGAGGCAAAGAAACAUAGUCUUCCAAAAUUUACUUGUGUAAAACCAAAAUAAAAUCAUAAAUGUGAAAAAAAUCUCCUUCCUUUGAAGUUAUACUAAAUCUGGGUCAAAGGAAAUUUAAGGAAUUUUGUUAUUUCCUAGAAAAGCUAAAGUGAACCUGUGGAAUUUCAAGAAGGCAUACCUAUAACAAUAUUAGACAGCUUUAUAGGUUGGCCAUAAAAAUCUGUAAACACAGCAAAUAUACCUAAUAAAUGGUUUGUUGUUAUUACGUAAUAUGUUUAGUGACAUUACAUGAUAUGUUCAGUGACAUUACAUGGUAUGUGAAUUGUGUUGUCCCUUGUAACAAUGCUCAUGUUACAAAGCAUGGUGCAUUGAUACAACAUUUUUCCCAAUCCAAGCAAAAGCAAAAUCAGCUGCAAUGUGUUGCCUCAGUUGAUUUCUCCCUCUGAUUUCUCCUGAAUAAACCUGUACCUUUAGCAUACCUCAGAAGAAGUAAGUAAUCAGGGAGUUCAAUGUGUAAAAUCAAUAUAUACUAUAAUAUUAUUUACUUAAGUCUGUAAAAAAUAAAAUAACAUUGUCUGUGUUUCCAGACUUUACGGCCACCUUUUUAUAAAGGUAAACUGGUAUUUAACUUUCUGUUGACCUUCAGCAUUUUAUUUUCAGCCUACAUAUAGGUAAAAGCCCAGUGAAAUCUGCCAUUGUAUUUACUUUUAAGUUGUUAACAGAUUAUUCUUCUCACAGAUACUAUAGAUACUGUAAUUGACUCUGUUUAUCUCUUUCUGUUGGCUCUCGAAAGCCUAGAGCAAAAUGUGUGGCCCAUCUGUACAGAAUCUUAUUGCUUGCAUUUUUAGAAGUAACCUCAAGGUUCAUUUUAACUUUCUUAUAUCAUUUUUCCCAUUGUACUCAUUUCCUUACCUACUUAAAAAAAUGAAAAGCAACUUGUUUUUCUCUUCCCAAAUAUAAAAUAUAUUUGCUAUAUGAAAUGUGUUAAAUACAUAUAAGAGAAAAGAAGAAAGUGAAAUGAUCUGUCCUUUUCACUGACCACAUUUAGUUCUUGAUAGUUUGGCAUUUUCCAAUGCAUACAUAUACAUUUUAAAAAGUGGCUUAUUCGGCCAGGCGUGGUGGCUCAUGCCUAUAAUCCCAGCACUUUGGGAGGCGGAGGCGGGUGGAUCACCUGAGGUUGGGAGUUCGAGACCAGCCUGGCCAACAUGGCAGAAACCCCAUCUCUACUAAAAAUACAAAAUUAGCCGGGCAUGGUGGCACAUGCCUGUAAUCCCAGCUACUCAGGAGGCUGAGGCAGGAGAAUCACUUGAACCCAGAAGGUGGAGGUUGCGGUGAGCUGAGAUCACGCCAUUACACUCCAGCCUGGGCAACAAGAGCGAAACUCCGUCUCAAAAAAAAAAAAAAGAAAGAAAAAAAAAAAAAGUGGCUUAUUCUACACAUAAUAUUUAUCAUUCAUCUCUGAAUUUAACAGCAUAUAUUGAACAUCUUUAAUAGAAUCAUAUACUAUUCUGCAACAUCAUUUUAAACAAUUGCAUGGCAUACGCAAAACGGAUAUGCUGUCAUUUAACCAACUUCCCCCUGUUGAAUGUUUAAAUUGCUUUCAAUUCUUUACUGCUAUAAACAAUUGUGCAACAUAGCUAAACACAGUGAAUAUAUCUAAAUAUUUGGCCUCACCCUUGAUUAUAUCAGUAAAGUAAAUUCCUAAAAGUGGAAUUGCUAAGUCAGAUAGAAUGCAGACUCUUAAGAUUUUGUAGUUUGCCAAGUUUCCCUAACAAAAGAUGGCACCAGCCAAACACACACACGAUAUCUGAGUGGCUUCUCUCUAGCCCCCUUACCAGUAAUUUUUAAAAAAUCUUUCUUAUUAAUUUUGUAAGUCAUUUUAAGUCAUUACUGAUAUAUGUGAAAUACAAACAAAGAAAAAUGUUAAAAUCUUCUAGUUAAGUAAAAAGCAAUGUGUACACAUCUAAACAUUAGCUUAGGUUAACAUGUUUUUAAAUAUUCAUAUCAAAAAUCACCUAAAUGCCUAAAAAUUUAUGAUUAGGGUUGUUGUUCCUUUGCCAAAAUUUUGUUUGGUGUCAUAUAUUUCCCCCACCCCUCCCACAUACCUGCCAAAAAUAAAGUUUCCAGAAAGGAAGUUCUAUACAAACUCAAAUUGUUGUUCAUCAUUUUCAUCUUUAGUACACAUGCACAAGCCAAUAAAAGUGAGUCAAUAUUUCACCAAGUUCCAUAGCAAAAAAAAAAAAAAAAGCAAAGUAUCAAAAUUUGUCUCAUCAUCAAUAGAAUGAUAGCCAGAGAAGACAUUUUAUUGUCCAUUUCUCAAAAAGAAAACUUAGUGUCGUGAUUUAUAUUAUCCAUCAUGGUCCAAUCACCUUCACUAUCAGUCACUUCAUCAAUGUGCCCCAUGCUUUAUAUAGGAAAACCACCUACUAACCAACUACAAGAUGGACAUGUACUUUGAGUACUUUUGUAACCUGCUGUGGUUGAAUAUUUGUGUCCCCACUAAAUUCAUAUGUUGAAAUCCUAACCCCCAGGGUGAUGGUAUUUGGAGGUGUGGGACUUUUGUAGGUGAUUACAUCAUGAGAGUUGAGCCCUUGUGACUAGAAUUAGUGCCCACAUAAAAGAGACCCUAUAGAGGUAGCUAGCCCCUUCCACCAUGUGAGGACACAGUGAGAAGUCAUCAUCUGUGAACCAGCAAAAGGUCCUUACCCAACACCAAAUCUGCUGGUGCCUUGAUCUUGAACUUCUCACCCUCCAGAACUAUGAGAAAUAAAUUUCUGUUUAUAAGCUAUCUAGUCUAUGUAUGGUAUUUUGUUAUAGUAGCCUUAACACACAAAGACACAACCUUUAUGGGUGAAAUAUGCUAUUCCAUUCAAGUUGUCACCCAGAUCCCUCUUGAAUUAACUGGAUAACAUUUCAAGAUAUGUCUCUUAGUCCAUUUUGUGCUGCUAUACUAGAAUACCACAGAUGGGGUAAUUUAUAAUGAACAGAAACUUACUGGCUCACAGUCUGGAGGCUAGGAAAUUCAUUAUCAAGGUGCUGGCAUCUGGCAAAAGCCUUCUUGCUGUGUUAACAAAUGGCCAAAAGGUAAAGAGAGAGGAACUCUGUGUCCUCAUGUGGUGGAAGAGCAGAAAAGCAAAGAGGCACAAACUCACCCUUUUUAAAUGGCCUUAAUCCCCCGCUGUGACAACUAAGCCCUCAUGGCCUAAUCACCUCUCUAAGAUCCUACCUCUUAAUACUGUUACAAUGGCAAUUUAAUUUCAACAUGAGCUUUGGAGGGGACAACAUUCAAACGGUAGCAGUAGGUACAUAACUGUCAGCAUAGAAUCAAUUUAAAUGACUUGCCCAAUACCUGGAAUGGAACGUGCACCCCGGGCCAUGUUAGCUGUGUUCUAAUUAACUGUGCUGAUGUUUCUGAGGGUAAAUGGCUUAGAAUGUGUAGUCAGUUAAAUAGUUUCCCUUCAAAUUCAUGUCUACCUGGAAUCUCAGAAUGUGCACUUAUUUGGAAAUAGGGUUGUUGCAGAUGUCAUUGGUUAAGAUGAGUAAUGCAUCUAUAAGCCAAAGAACACCAAGCCACCACCAGAAGUAAGAAGAGAGGCACAGAACAGAUUCUCCCUCAGAGCUUCCAGAAGAAACCAAUAUUGCUGACACCUUGAUUUCAAACUUCUAGCCUUCAGGAUUGUGAGAUAAUAAAUUCCUAUUGUGUUAAGCCACCCAGUUUGUGAUUCUUUAAUAUAGUAGCCCUAGCAAAGUAAUAUAAAAGGUAACUAUGAUGCUUUAAAAAGCAUCAAUUAUAGGAUUCAAUGUAGUGUAGCUAUGGCAUCUGUCACCAGGUUAAUUGCCAGAAUUGACUGACUGCUCUGGCAUCCUCCUAGUCCAGAGUUCCCUUCCUCUGAGAGCUCCAUGUGUGUUCUUCCCAAAGUGUCAACUCAAUCAAAAAGAAUGACAUUUCCAAUCUGACAAAGUCUAUUUUUAGUCAAGGUAUGUGGGGAGCUGUACUCCCUGGCUAGAGCUUUCCAAUAAGCACUGAAAUCCCUUUGCAAGCAAAUGUAGGUUAGCCAAAUCUGUUUUUACAAAGCGCCCCUCUCCACCUGUGAUUCUGUUAGAAUAUCAGUCAAAUCAUAGCUCCAUAUCAGUUUCACAGAAAGCAUGUAGAUUUAUAAGAUUAAACUUAUAUAA